UUCCGGUUGAUCCUGCCGGAGGCUACCGCUAUUGGAGUUCGAUUAAGCCAUGCGAGUCGCGAGUCUUAGGGACUCGGCGUACCGCUCAGUAACACGUGGGUAACCUGCCCUAUGCUGGGGGAUAACCUCGGGAAACUGAGAAUAAUACCCCAUAGUUCACCACGCCUGGAACGGUGGGUGGAUGAAAGCUCCGGCGGCAUAGGAUGGGCCUGCGGCGUAUCAGGUUGUAGGGGGUGUAAUGUACCCUCUAGCCAUCUACGCGUACGGGUGUUGGGAGACAUCGCCCGGAGAUGGAUUCUGAGACACGAAUCCAGACCCUACGGGGUGCAGCAGGCGCGAAAACUUGGCAAUGCGAGCAAUCGUGACCAGGGAACUCCAAGUGCAUCGGGUAAGACCCGAUGCUUUUCUUGACUCUUCAAAGGUCUUGGAAUAAGGGGUGGGUAAGGACGGUGCCAGCCGCCGCGGUAAUACCGGCGCCUCAAGUGGUAGUCGCUUUUAUUGGGCCUAAAACGUCCGUAGCCGGUUUGGUACAUUCGUGGGUAAAUCAAGGCGCUCAACGUCUUGAAUUCUGCGAGCACGGCCAGACUUGGGACCGGGUGAGGUGUGGGGUACUCUCAGGGUAGGGGUAAAAUCCUGUCAUCCUGAGAGGACCACCUGUUGCGAAGGCGCCACACUAGAACGGAUCCGACGGUCAGGGACGAAGCCUAGGGGCACGAACCGGAUUAGAUACCCGGGUAGUCCUAGGUGUAAACGCUGUGGACUUGAUGUUGGGAGUGCUCCGAGCACCCUCAGUGUCGAAGCGAAGGUGAUAAGUCCACUGCCUGGGGAGUACGGUCGCAAGGCUGAAACUUAAAGGAAUUGGCGGGGGAGCACUGCAACCUGAGGAUUGUGCGGUUUAAUUGGACUCAACGCCGGGA
rnacentral:rRNA from 1 species